rnacentral:rRNA from 1 species
UACGUAGGGGCCUAGCGUUGUCCGGAUUUAUUGGGCGUAAAGAGCUCGUAGGCGGUUCGGUAAGUCAGGUGUGAAAUCUCCACGCUCAACGUGGAGGCGCCACCUGAAACUGCCGUGACUAGAGUCCGGUAGGGGAGUGUGGAAUUCCCGGUGUAGCGGUGAAAUGCGCAGAUAUCGGGAGGAACACCAGUGGCGAAGGCGACUACCUGGCCCACUCUUGACGCUGAGGCGCGAAAGCUAGGGGAGCGAACGGG